rnacentral:rRNA from 1 species
AUUGAACGCUGGCGGCAGGCCUAACACAUGCAAGUCGAACGAGUGGCGGACGGGUGAGUACUGUCUGGGAAACUGCCUGACGGAGGGGGAUAACUACUGGAAACGGUAGCUAAUACCGCAUACCAUCAGAUGUGCCCAGAUGGGAUUAGCUAGUGGGUGGGGUAAAGGCUACCCAAGGCGACGAUCCCUUGCGGCUCUGAGAGGAUGACCAGCCACACUGGAACUGAGACACGGUCAAGACUCCUACGGGAGGCAGCAGUGGGGAAUAUUGCACAAUGGGAGCAAGCCUGAUACAGCCAUGCCGCGUGUGUGAAGAAGGCCUUCGGGUUGUAAAGUACUUUCAGCGGGGAGGCGUUACCCGCAGAAGAAGCACCGGCUAACUCCGUGCCAGCCGCCGCGGUAAUUC